AUUGAACGCUGGCGGCAGGCUUAACACAUGCAAGUCGAGCGGAGAUGAGGUGCUUGCACCUUAUCUUAGCGGCGGACGGGUGAGUAAUGCUUAGGAAUCUGCCUAUUGGUGGGGGACAACAUUCCGAAAGGAAUGCUAAUACCGCAUACGUCCUACGGGAGAAAGCAGGGGAUCUUCGGACCUUGCGCUAAUAGAUGAGCCUAAGUCGGAUUAGCUAGUUGGUGGGGUAAAGGCCUACCAAGGCGACGAUCUGUAGCGGGUCUGAGAGGAUGGUCCGCCACACUGGGACUGAGACACGGCCCAGACUCCUACGGGAGGCAGCAGUGGGGAAUAUUGGACAAUGGGGGAAACCCUGAUCCAGCCAUGCCGCGUGUGUGAAGAAGGCCUUAUGGUUGUAAAGCACUUUAAGCGAGGAGGAGGCUACUGAGACUAAUACUCUUGGAUAGUGGACGUUACUCGCAGAAUAAGCACCGGCUAACUCUGUGCCAGCCGCCGCGGUAA
rnacentral:rRNA from 1 species